AUCAUAUUGAAGAGUAACUGCUGACCUUAUUCACUGACUGUGGCCCUCAUGGCAUAGUCAGUCACCAGGUUAGUGACAUGU